rnacentral:rRNA from 1 species
UACGUAGGCAGCGAGCGUUGUUCGGAAUUACUGGGCGUAAAGAGUGUGUAGGCGGUGCUCUAAGUUCGGUGUGAAAUCUCCUGGCUCAACUGGGAGGGUGCGCCGGAAACUGGAGUGCUUGAGCGUGGGAGAGGAAAGCGGAAUUCCUGGUGUAGCGGUGAAAUGCGUAGAUAUCAGGAGGAACACCUGUGGUGUAGACAGCUUACUGGACCAUUUCUGACGCUGAGACACGAAAGCGUGGGUAGCAAACAGG